AUACGGAGGGUGCAAACGUUGUUCGGAAUUACUGGGCGUAAAGCGCGCGUAGGCGGUUCGUUAAGUCAGAUGUGAAAGUCCACAGCUCAACUGUGGAAGUGCAUUUGAAACUGGCAGACUUGAGUACUGGAGGGGGUGGUGGAAUUCCCGGUGUAGAGGUGAAAUUCGUAGAUAUCGGGAGGAAUACCGGUGGCGAAGGCGACCAACUGGCCAGAUACUGACGCUGAGGUGCGAAAGCGUGGGGAGCAAACAGGAUUAGAAACCCUAGUAGUCC
rnacentral:rRNA from 1 species